rnacentral:tRNA from 1 species
UGGGGAUUGGUCUAGUGGUAUGACGCCUGACUCUGGAUCAGGUAACCGAGGUUCGAAUCCUCGAUCCCCAGCCA